CUUACUGUCGGUACGCCCAAGGUCUAGACCUCCACUGCUCCGCCGAUCUUCCCCACGCACGCUUCCUCGCCUGAUCUCCGCUUCAGUAACAGAACUUCCGGCUCUCGCUUCGCCUCCGAAUCCCAGAUGAAAAGCUAAGACCCUCUUAUUUACCCUGUUAUGCAAUUACUUGACUCCUGCUUCACUCCUGCUUCACUCCUAAUCCCUAACUGUACUUGGCAGACGUAACAAUCCUCCCCUCUUAAUCUGAUCCUUGCCCUCAAGGAUCAAAAGAAGGAAACUGACUCUUGAUAAGCCAAUAAUCCUCCCAAGUCGCGCGGUCUUCUGGUAGAUUCGCCCAUUGAACCAGCACUUCAGUUGCGGCCCUGUUUCCGCGCCUCAUCACCCUCCUAUCCAAGAUUUUCUCUGGCUCAAUUA
rnacentral:lncRNA from 1 species